AUCUUUGCGCAGUGGCGGUACCAUAGCCAAUGAGGUUUUACCGAGGCGUGGUUAUUGCUGGUUGAAAACUACUCCCAAUACCCCGCACGGUCGACUCACAUGUCGGCUUGUGCAAUUUUUUCUGCUCUUAAGAGAG